rnacentral:lncRNA from 1 species
GCGGUUGGAGUUGGAGGGGUUGGAGCAGGAGCACUAAGCAGCGAACGGAUAAUGAGCAGCAGCAGCAGCCUCACCUCCGGCAUCUCUGCCUCACCAUCGGCAGCGGCCAGCACUGCUCGCCACCGCCAUGACGGAGCGCCGCAGCAGCUGAGGGUGAAGGCGGCGGUGCGGCCACAGCAGCAGCAACAGCUGCUGCACGGUGGCCGCCGGCAUACAAGGGGCAGCGCGGUGGUGGUGAGGGCCGGUCCUGGGCCGCUGUCGGAGAUCGAGCCGGACCUGGAGGAGGACGCCAUCGACGUGUAUCGCACCAACGGCAUCGCCCCGGUCCGUCCCCCGUUGCUUCUUCUUGUUCUUCUCAAUUUUGCCAUUGCCGGCCGCGCUUAGAACACGCACGAAAGCUGCGAAUCUUGACGGAGGUUGUGCCACGAACGAACUCUGAAGAACGGAUGACGUUUCGUUCGUUCAUGGAUAACACU